rnacentral:lncRNA from 1 species
AAGAAGUGAAACUAAUAGUAAACGAAAAAUUAGGAGAGAAACAAAAGUAUCUGUGCGUAACUUUGCUUCAAUUACUAUAACAAUUAAAAAAAUUAAAAAUUAAUAUCAGCUCAGACAUUCUAUAGGUAUUAUCAGUAAUCAACUUAUAGCAGCAAAUGAUCACGGUAAUAAUAUAGGGGAGAAUAAUGGGCACUCAUUAUAUAGGCUUCGACAGGUAAGGAAAACGACAU